UACGGGAGGCAGCAGUGGGGAAUAUUGCACAAUGGGCGCAAGCCUGAUGCAGCCAUGCCGCGUGUAUGAAAAAGGCCUUCGGGUUGUAAAGUACUUUCAGUCGUGAGGAAGGUGUUAAGGUUAAUAACCUUAGCAAUUGACGUUAGCGACAGAAGAAGCACCGGCUAACUCCGUGCCAGCAGCCGCGGUAAUACGGAGGGUGCGAGCGUUAAUCGGAAUUACUGGGCGUAAAGGGCACGCAGGCGGUUAAUUAAGUUGGAUGUGAAAUCCCCGGGCUUAACCUGGGAAUGGCAUUCAAGACUGGUUAGCUAGAGUCUUGUAGAGGGGGUUAGAAUUCCAUGUGUAGCGGUGAAAUGCGUAGAGAUGUGGAGGAAUACCGGUGGCGAAGGCGGCCCCUGGACAAAGACUGACGCUCAUGUGCGAAAGCUGGGGAGCAAACGAGGGAUUAGAUA
rnacentral:rRNA from 1 species